UACCAGCACCCCGAGUGGUCGGGACGUUUAUUGGGCCUAAAGCAUCCGUAGCCGGUUCUACAAGUCUUCCGUUAAAUCCACCUGCUUAACAGAUGGGCUGCGGAAGAUACUAUAGAGCUAGGAGGCGGGAGAGGCAAGCGGUACUCGAUGGGUAGGGGUAAAAUCCGUUGAUCCAUUGAAGACCACCAGUGGCGAAGGCUGGCUUGCCAGAACGCGCUCGACGGUGAGGGAUGAAAGCUGGGGGAGCAAACCGG
rnacentral:rRNA from 1 species